rnacentral:rRNA from 1 species
UGGGGAAUUUUGCGCAAUGGGCGAAAGCCUGACGCAGCAACGCCGCGUGAGUGAUGAAGGCUUUCGGGUCGUAAAGCUCUGUCGAGGGGAAAGAAAUGUAUUGUGGUUAAUACCCGCGAUACUUGACGGUACCCCUAAAGGAAGCACCGGCUAACUCCGUGCCAGCAGCCGCGGUAAUACGGGGGGUGCAAGCGUUGUUCGGAAUUAUUGGGCGUAAAGCGCGUGUAGGCGGUCUGAUUAGUCUGAUGUGAAAGCCCUGGCUCAACCCAGGAAGUGCAUUGGAUACUGUCAGACUUGAAUACGGGAGAGGGUAGUGGAAUUCCUAGUGUAGGAGUGAAAUCCGUAGAUAUUAGGAGGAACACCGGUGGCGAAGGCGGCUACCUGGACCGAUAUUGACGCUGAGACACGAAAGCGUGGGUAGCAAACAGGAUUAGAUACCCUGGUAGUUCACGCCGUAAACGAUGAGUACUAGGUGUUGCGGGUAUUGACCCCUGCAGUGCCGCAGCUAACGCAUUAAGUACUCCGCCUGGGAAGUACGGUCGCAAGACUA